AUAAAGUAAGGUUCCGAUUUUUAAAGAGUUUAAAAGUAAGAAGGAGUUAAAGUGAUUCAAGGAUGCUUUUUGCUGAAUUAUUAAUAACGUUUACCUUCAUGAUAAGGGCAAGGAUUUGCCAAACCCGAUUUGAUGUUGCUAUGCCAGUGUCAAAUACUUAAUGAAUUGGAAAUGAGACCUAACACAUAGUGGUGUUACACCAAGACGUGAGUAACUGUUGCUGGGUAAGUUUCAUAAUAUCAGAUGGUCUGCAUGGAGGCAUGAAACACUGUUAAAAAUAUCAAGACUAUUGCCAGCCAUUAAAAUGCAACAGGCUACGAGUGAUAACAGUGACUUGCAGCAUAUCUGCACAGAGCGUUUUCAGUGCUUUCUGUCAAACAUGCUUGACAUUGGCAACAUUUUGAAGACCACAUCCAUUAGGUUUCAGAAGGAAAAGCUGACCAUUGGAGAAUGUAAGGAUGAACUCAUGGUGGCCAUUGGACAGUUCACACUUCUGCUUGAUGGUGAAGGCCACAGGGCACACACUGUUUCUAAUGCUGAUGCUGACAGAGACAAGACAAACUUACUCAGGGGGUUAAUUCAAGAGUUUGAAAUCAGAUAUGACUCCUACAAGUCAUGUGAUCAUUUCUUAGUAUUUGAUCCUUCAACAUGGCCUCAGGAAAUGCAAGACCUCCACAGUUUUGGAAACACAACAGUUUGCAGCAUUCUCAAGAAAUAUGAGGCCACCUUGCAGCUUGACAAAGACACCACUGUGACAGAAUGGAUGCGCUUAAAGCAGGCAGGAAAACGCCUGGGAGCCUCUUCUGUGUAUGACUUGGUCCAAAUAGUAAAUACAAGUAACCCAGAUGCUUACUCCAACAUCAACAAGGUGGUUAAGCUGUCUCUUACACUGCCUUUAAGCAGUGCAUCUUGUGAGAGGGGAUUCUCACAUCUCAACAUAAUAAAAACGAAGUACAGAUCUCGUCUGUCACAUGCUCUUCUCUCAGCCCUGAUGCACAUUCACCUGUCAAAGCAGACCACAGAGACAUUUGACCCAAAGCAAGCUGUUGACCUCUGGAUGGAGACAGCUAAUCGGAGGCUCAACCAAGGACAGGGAGGUGCAUCUGCAGCAUCAUCAUCAUCUACCAUGCAGGAAGUUGAAGCAGAGGACAGUGAGGGCGACACUGAGGAGGACAGUGAGGAAGACUGCACUUAUUAAGACCACGCUACAUAUGGGAGGAUGGUACCUGGUGAAGAACAGACCCUCAGGAUCUCAAGCAUACUAAACAUGAGAAGAGCAGGACGACAAGAACAGGAAUGUGCUCAGUCAGACUAUCACCUGUGUCCAACUGUGUGGGAAAUGAUAUAGUGAUAUAGAGCCUUAUGUAAAAGGUGUGUUCAGUUUCUGAUUUUGCUUCUGUAAAGGAGUUGUUGCCCUACCAUUUUAACCGUAAAGAACGCCAAUAUUUAACGUUAUUAUAAACAAAAACAAAAGACAUUUUAUUCAAGCCCAUCUUCAUUAAAAGAAAUCAAAAGUGUUGAACAAAUUAGAUAUGUUUCAUGAAUAAAUAUACACUGGGUUAAAGUGAAGGCAGUCAAACAAGAAUUUAACAGACCAAGAAAACAAAACACAAGUUAUUAAAAGAUAAUCAUCUCUACAUACGUACGAAGACGCUGAUACUGAUCAGUCCAGCUUAAGCUGCCUCAGUGACACCAGUUGAGACCAGUCAGGCUUCAGGCUCUACGUGGUUGUUAGAUCAGAUACGAGGAGAGGUACAAGCCCUGGUUCGCUUUAACGUUACCUUUUUUAAGUAUUUGUCGGUGGUAUUAACUCAGAAAUGAUAAACUCUUUCUGAAAUUACUAUUUCAGGAUGCAUCAUGUGCAUCUAUACUUUUUCAGCAGUUUUAGUUCAUAAUAUAGUAAAACCUCAAAGCAAAUCCAUAAAGAGCAUGCUCAGUUUGGUUUGGAAGAACUUGAUUGCCUAAAGCAUUGAAUGGUUUAGGCCCAAAAUACAUUCGUGAUCUCCUGCUACAUUAUCAACCAUCCAGAACUCUCGGGUCUUCUGGGAUGGGUCAACUUUCUGUCCCCAGACUUAGAAAUAACAAGGAGAAGCAGCGUUCAGUUAUUAUGCUCCAAAUAUCUGGAACAAACUCCCAGAACCCUGCAGGGCCGCUGCAACUCUCACUACUUUUAAAUCCAGGCUGAAAACAUUUCUUUUUGCCCCUGCUUUUAAUUGAACUGUUCUUAUCAAACAUUGCACUGUGACUUUUAUUCUGCACUGUAACUUUUAUUCAUGUAUUUUAUACCUGUUGUGUUUAUCUCAUUAUCUUUGCUCUUAAAUGACUGUUUUUAAAUGCCUUUAUAUAAUGUGUUUAUGCUGCACUAUUUCUUAAUGCUCUUAAUGUCUUUCAUGUUUGUAAAGCACUUUGGAUUGCUUUGUGUUGAAAGGUGCUAUAUAAAUAAACUUGCCUUGCCUUUCA